GACGAACGCUGGCGGCGUGCUUAACACAUGCAAGUCGUACGGUAAGGCCCUUUCGGGGGUACACGAGUGGCGAACGGGUGAGUAACACGUGAGUAACCUGCCCACAACUUUGGGAUAACGCUAGGAAACUGGUGCUAAUACUGGAUAUGUGCUCCUGCUGCAUGGUGGGGGUUGGAAAGCUCCGGCGGUUGUGGAUGGACUCGCGGCCUAUCAGCUUGUUGGUGGGGUAGUGGCCUACCAAGGCGGCGACGGGUAGCCGGCCUGAGAGGGUGACCGGCCACAUUGGGACUGAGAUACGGCCCAGACUCCUACGGGAGGCAGCAGUGGGGAAUAUUGCACAAUGGGCGCAAGCCUGAUGCAGCAACGCCGCGUGCGGGAUGACGGCCUUCGGGUUGUAAACCGCUUUCAGCAGGGACGAAGCUUUUUGCGACGGUACCUGCAGAAGAAGCACCGGCUAACUACGUG
rnacentral:rRNA from 1 species